UGGGAAUAUGCAGACAAGUGGGAUAUCUAUACUAGUUCAUACAAUCAUCUUCUUUGCUCUUAUCACCAUCUUCCUUAUAGCUAUUGGUGUUCAUAUUUACACAGGAUAGUUCAUCACCCUUUUCAAAGCUUGUUUUGUUUUGUUCACUUUUACUCUCUGAUUCUCUUGUGUUUUGUUACUAUGGGCUUUAAUUUUUCUUAAUUUAAGUGUACUUUCAUGUGUUGUUAAAUACUCAUUUUCUAAUUAAUAAGAGGUUCAAAAUUCUGAAUCGGAUUAAUCAUCUUUCAGAAACGUAUAUAGAUAUCUCUGUAUGGAUGAUAAUUUAUUAAUUAUUACUUUAUGUUUUGUUGGCAA
rnacentral:misc_RNA from 1 species